AACGAACGCUGGCGGCAUGCCUAACACAUGCAAGUCGAACGAGAUCUUCGGGUCUAGUGGCGCACGGGUGCGUAACGCGUGGGAAUCUGCCCUUUGGUUCGGAAUAACAGUUGGAAACGACUGCUAAUACCGGAUGAUGACGAAAGUCCAAAGAUUUAUCGCCAGAGGAUGAGCCCGCGUAGGAUUAGCUAGUUGGUGUGGUAAAGGCGCACCAAGGCGACGAUCCUUAGCUGGUCUGAGAGGAUGAUCAGCCACACUGGGACUGAGACACGGCCCAGACUCCUACGGGAGGCAGCAGUGGGGAAUAUUGGACAAUGGGCGAAAGCCUGAUCCAGCAAUGCCGCGUGAGUGAUGAAGGCCUUAGGGUUGUAAAGCUCUUUUACCCGGGAUGAUAAUGACAGUACCGGGAGAAUAAGCACCUGCUAACUCUGUGCCAGCAGCCGCCGCCG
rnacentral:rRNA from 1 species